AGCGAACGCUGGCGGCAGGCCUAACACAUGCAAGUCGAACGAAGUCUUCGGACUUAGUGGCGGACGGGUGAGUAACACGUGGGAACGUACCUUUUGGUUCGGAACAACUCAGGGAAACUUGAGCUAAUACCGGAUGCGCCCUUAGGGGGAAAGAUUUAUCGCCGAAAGAGCGGCCCGCGUUAGAUUAGCUAGUUGGUGAGGUAAAGGCUCACCAAGGCUACGAUCUAUAGCUGGUCUGAGAGGAUGAUCAGCCACACUGGGACUGAGACACGGCCCAGACUUCUACGGGAGGCAGCAGUGGGGAAUCUUGCGCAAUGGGCGAAAACCUGACGCAGCCAUGCCGCGUGAAUGAUGAAGGUCUUAGGAUUGUAAAAUUCUUUUACCAGGGACGAUAAUGACGGUACCUGGAGAAAAAGCCCCGGCUAACUUCGUGCCAGCCGCCGCCGUAAUAC
rnacentral:rRNA from 1 species